UACGUAGGGUGCAAGCGUUAAUCGGAAUUACUGGGCGUAAAGCGUGCGCAGGCGGUUGUGUGAGUCUGUCGUGAAAUCCCCGGGCUCAACCUGGGAAUUGCGAUGGAGACUGCACGGCUAGAGUGUGUCAGAGGGGGGUAGAAUUCCACGUGUAGCAGUGAAAUGCGUAGAUAUGUGGAGGAACACCGAUGGCGAAGGCAGCCCCCUGGGAUAACACUGACGCUCAUGCACGAAAGCGUGGGGAGCAAACAGG
rnacentral:rRNA from 1 species